rnacentral:rRNA from 1 species
CAAUAGCGUAUAUUAAAGUUGUUGCGGUUAAAAGCUCGUAGUUGGAUUUCUGCUGAGGACUUUUACUUUGAGGAAAUUAGAGUGUUUCAAGCAGGCGCACGCCUUAAAUACAUUAGCAUGGAAUAAUAAGAUAGGACCUUGGUUCUAUUUUGUUGGUUUCUAAAGCUGAGGUAAUGAUUAAUAGGGAUAAUUGGAGGCAUUCUUAUUUAAUUGUCGAGGUAAAAUUCUUGGAUUUGUUAUAGACGGACUACUGCGAAAGCAUUUGCCAAGAAUGUUUUCAUUGCUCAAGAACGAAGGUUAGGGGGAUCGAAGACGAUCAGAUACCAU